GGAGGGAUGGCCGAGUGGUUUAAGGCGGCGGUCUUGAAAACCGUUGUCCCGUUAACGCGGGACCGCAGGUUCGAAUCCUGCUCCCUCCGCCA
rnacentral:tRNA from 1 species